rnacentral:rRNA from 1 species
UUCGGAGGUACUCGAGUGGCGAACGGGUGAGUAACACGUGGGCAAUCUGCCCUGCACUUCGGGAUAAGCCUGGGAAACUGGGUCUAAUACCGGAUAGGACCUCAAGACGCAUGUCUUCUGGUGGAAAGCUUUUGCGGUGUGGGAUGGGCCCGCGGCCUAUCAGCUUGUUGGUGGGGUGACGGCCUACCAAGGCGACGACGGGUAGCCGGCCUGAGAGGGUGUCCGGCCACACUGGGACUGAGAUACGGCCCAGACUCCUACGGGAGGCAGCAGUGGGGAAUAUUGCACAAUGGGCGCAAGCCUGAUGCAGCGACGCCGCGUGGGGGAUGACGGCCUUUCGGGUUGUAAACCUCUUUCACCAUCGACGAAGGUCCGGGUUUUCUCGGAUUGACGGUAGGUGGAGAAGAAGCACCGGCCAACUACGUGCCAGCAGCCGCGGUAAUACGUAGGGUGCGAGCGUUGUCCGGAAUUACUGGGCGUAAAGAGCUCGUAGGUGGUUUGUCGCGUUGUUCGUGAAAUCUCACGGCUUAACUGUGAGCGUGCGGGCGAUACGGGCAGACUAGAGUACUGCAGGGGAGACUGGAAUUCCUGGUGUAGCGGUGGAAUGCGCAGAUAUCAGGAGGAACACCGGUGGCGAAGGCGGGUCUCUGGGCAGUAACUGACGCUGAGGAGCGAAAGCGUGGGGAGCGAACAGGAUUAGAUACCCUGGUAGUCCACGCCGUAAACGGUGGGUACUAGGUGUGGGUUUCCUUCCUUGGGAUCCGUGCCGUAGCUAACGCAUUAAGUACCCCGCCUGGGGAGUACGGCCGCAAGGCUAAAACUCAAAGGAAUUGACGGGGGCCCGCACAAGCGGCGGAGCAUGUGGAUUAAUUCGAUGCAACGCGAAGAACCUUACCUGGGUUUGACAUGCACAGGACGCGUCUAGAGAUAGGCGUUCCCUUGUGGCCUGUGUGCAGGUGGUGCAUGGCUGUCGUCAGCUCGUGUCGUGAGAUGUUGGGUUAAGUCCCGCAACGAGCGCAACCCUUGUCUCAUGUUGCCAGCGGGUAAUGCCGGGGACUCGUGAGAGACUGCCGGGGUCAACUCGGAGGAAGGUGGGGAUGACGUCAAGUCAUCAUGCCCCUUAUGUCCAGGGCUUCACACAUGCUACAAUGGCCGGUACAAAGGGCUGCGAUGCCGUAAGGUUAAGCGAAUCCUUUUAAAGCCGGUCUCAGUUCGGAUUGGGGUCUGCAACUCGACCCCAUGAAGUCGGAGUCGCUAGUAAUCGCAGAUCAGCAACGCUGCGGUGAAUACGUUCCCGGGCCUUGUACACACCGCCCGUCACGUCAUGAAAGUCGGUAACACCCGAAGCCAGUGGCCUAACCG